AGUUUGUGGAACUUGUCACGAAGAUCCUCCUGGGGUUGGCGUGGCACUUAGGCCUCCCGACAAAGAGCUUGGAAGAGUUACUCGAUGAUGGCACCCGUGCCGCCACAGUUACCCAGAGACCAGUGAAGGCCUGAGGAGUUGAAAGAAAACACAAAAGCGGAGACUCUCAGAUCCUCAUAAUGACCCCAAGAUCUCCAAGAAGAAAGUGGACGCAGCAACAAAGGACUCCACCUAAUUGUGCUAAUACCGGGCAAGAUCUCCCCAGUGCCUCUCCGACUGCUAGGGCAUAGCCUACACUCUGGGGAAUAAAAGAAGUCCUAAGACUUGGAUCCACCUGCCAGAAGUUAAAAG
rnacentral:lncRNA from 1 species